rnacentral:misc_RNA from 1 species
UCCCCGUUACCGGGGCAGUCUGAUUAGAAAAAUUCAACUAAUCACAAGGGUUGCGCUCGUUAAUGGACUUAACCAAACAUCUCACGACACGAGCUGACGACGGCCAUGCAACAUCUGUCACUUGGUUCAAAAGCACUCACUCCUUUCGGAGUAAUUCCAAGGAUGUCAAACCCUGGUAAGGUUCUUCGUUUAGCAUCGAAUUAAAGAACAUAAUCCACCGCUUGUGCGGCUCCCCGUCAAUUCCUUUAUGUUUUAGUCUUGCGACCGUACUCCACAGGCGGGAUACUUAACGCGUUAGCUUCGCUACGGAAGGGGUCGAUACCCCCCACAGCUAGUAUCCAUCGUUUACGGCGUGGACUAC